rnacentral:rRNA from 1 species
UACAGAGGGUGCAAGCGUUGUUCGGAAUUACUGGGCGUAAAGCGCACGUAGGCGGACAUUUAAGUCAGGGGUGAAAUCCCAGAGCUCAACUCUGGAACUGCCUUUGAUACUGGGUGUCUUGAGUAUGGAAGAGGUGAGUGGAAUUCCGAGUGUAGAGGUGAAAUUCGUAGAUAUUCGGAGGAACACCAGUGGCGAAGGCGGCUCACUGGUCCAUUACUGACUCUGAGGUGCGAAAGCGUGGGGAGCAAACAGG